rnacentral:rRNA from 1 species
UACGAAGGGGGCUAGCGUUGCUCGGAAUGACUGGGCGUAAAGGGCGCGUAGGCGGCUUGCACAGUCAGGCGUGAAAUUCCUGGGCUCAACCUGGGGACUGCGCUUGAGACGUGUGGGCUUGAGUGGGGAAGAGGGUCGUGGAAUUCCCAGUGUAGAGGUGAAAUUCGUAGAUAUUGGGAAGAACACCAGGUGGCGAAGGCGGCGGACCUGGUCCUUGACUGACGCUGAGGCGCGAAAGCGUGGGGAGCAAACAGG